UUUAAUCACGAAUUAGCAAUUUAGCAUCCCAGGCAUAUCAAUAUCUGAUUCUGAUAUCUCAUGUACUCUGCCGAACGUCUCUAAGCUGGAGAUGGUCUCUGCAAAACCGACGAGCGCCAAGAACCCUAAAAAUGUGUAUCACAUCGGAGGCCUCCAAGUGGAAUUUCCUUACCAUCCAUAUGGUUCUCAGUUUGCAUUUAUGGGUAGAGUCAUCUCUACCCUUAACCGGGCUCAGAGAGAAGGCCAUUGUCACGCAUUGCUCGAGUCUCCAACCGGUACUGGCAAGUCCCUUUCCCUUCUUUGUUCUUCCCUCGCUUGGCAGCAGAACUACAAGUUAAAUAAACAGCACACAAAUCUCUCUCACCUGAAACCCGCACCAGAAGCAACGACAGACCCUCUUGUUUACGGUGGUGGAUUUGUUCCUGACGAGGUUUUUCCGACAUCAGAAAAUGUGGAGCUGCCAGAGUCUGGGGCUAACAAGAUGCAGAAGAAAAAGGCUGCACCCACUAUAUAUUAUGCUUCGAGGACACACUCACAAAUUUCUCAAGUAAUUCAUGAAUUGCGGAAAACAGCUUAUAGAGUGCCUAUGGCUGUGCUGGCAUCACGGAAGCAUUAUUGUACCAAUAAACAUAUACUAGCAAAAGAAAAUAUUGAUGAAGAAUGUAAACUACUUUUGAAAGAUCAGGCAAUAGGAUGCCCAGAAUUCAAAAAUGCGCAUAAAGUCAAAAGUCAUCCAUCCCUACAAAGAGGAGGAUGUUAUGAGGUACAUGAUAUAGAAGAUAUUGUGAAAGUUGGACAAGCAGUGAAAGGUUGCUCCUAUUAUGCAGCCCGCUCUAUGUCAGAUGAUGCGCAAUUGGUAUUUUGUCCUUAUAGUUACAUAAUCAAUCCAGUCAUCCGGGGAGCAAUGGAUGUAGAUAUUAAAGGAGCUAUUGUGAUUCUGGAUGAAGCCCACAAUAUAGAGGAUAUCACUCGCGAUGCUGGUAGUGUUGAUAUUGAAGAGGAUGUUUUGGAUAAGCUGCAAAUGGAGCUUCAACAACUUUGUCCUGUCAAUGCUUUGAUAUACCAACCUUUGUAUGAAAUGGUGCAGGGUCUUACAAGCUGGAUAGAACGUAGUAAAAAAAAACUAGAAAAGCGUGAUUUUCAGCACUAUGUAUCUUGUUGGACUGGGUCAAAUGCUUUAACAGAACUCCAAGAAGCAAAUAUUUCACGUCAGUGCUUCCCUAUCUUGCUAGAAUCUGCUACCAAGGCAAUCAAAGUUGCUUCAGACUUGGAGUUAGAUGUACCACAUUUAAGUGGCAUGUCAGUAAUGACACUAGAAGGCUUAUUCUCUUCACUAACAUAUUUCUUCUCAAGAAAUGGUUCUCACAUGCUGGAUUACCAGCUUGCUCUGCAGCGAAGUGUUAAGAAAGAAGCUGGAAGAUCUUUUGGAAAUUGGACCCACACUUUGAGUUUAUGGUGCUUGAAUCCAGCAGUUGUGUUUAGUGACAUUGCCAAUCUUUCUUUAUCGGUCAUUUUGACUUCUGGGACUUUGUCACCACUGAACUCCUUUUCUUCUGAGCUAGGAGUUCAGUUUGAAACUAGUCUGGAGGCUCCACAUGUAAUUGAUGUUGACUCUCAGGUAUGGCCUGCCGUAAUUUGUACUGGUCCAGGUAAUUAUCCUUUGAAUGCAAGUUAUAAAACAGCAGAUGUAUAUGCAUUCCAGGAUGCAGUUGGAAGAUCUUUAGAGGAAAUCUUCAAAAUUGUCCCUGGUGGCUGUCUUGUUUUCUUUCCAAGUUAUAAAUUAAUGGAGAAAUUAUGCAAUCGAUGGUCCGAAACAGGUCAAUGGUCUCAUCUAAAUGCGGAAAAGUCACUUUUUGUUGAACCUAGAGGAGGAAGCCAAGAUGAUUUUGAUCUGGCUUUAAAAGGGUAUUAUGACUCAAUUCAUCUCCACACUUCACCUGCAUUGGGCAGGAAAAAAAGGGUUAAGAAUGUUGGCUAUAGUCACUUACAUGCAGUCAAUUCUCCACAAAAUUCUAAGAAAGGAGGAGCUGCUUUACUUGGCGUUUGUCGAGGAAAGGUUUCUGAAGGCAUUGAUUUUUCUAAUGAUAAUGCUCGAGUGGUUAUUAUAGUCGGCAUUCCAUUUCCCAACAUAAAUGAUAUUCAAGUUGCGCUAAAGAAGAAAUACAACGACACAUACAAAUCAUCCAAAAAUCUUUUGAGUGGAAAUGAGUGGUAUUGCCAUCAAGCAUUUCGAGCUUUGAAUCAAGCAGCAGGCCGUUGUAUACGACAUAGGCUUGAUUAUGGAGCAGUCAUCUUAUUGGAUGAACGUUUUCAGGAAGAAAGAAAUAGAGCAUUCAUUUCAAAGUGGUUAAGAAAAACCUUAAGGAUAUAUGACAGUUUUGACUUGUCUUUGAAGGGAAUGAAAUCAUUCUUUGAGAAUGCCAAGGAGCGGUUUGGCACAACUUUCACUCAAAAUUUGGGUUUAAACCAGGAAUGUGACCAAGCCAAGGAUCAGAAUAUGGGAUUUAUAAGAAAGAUAAAUAAGAAACUGUUAAAGUCUGACAUUGGUGGUGAGAAAAAUAUAGAAAUGAUCAAGGAUGAGAGUCAACCAUCUGUGCAAAAGAUUAAUGAUUCAUACAACUGUAAAGACUGUUUUGACCCAAACGACUGCAAACAGGCAGGACCAUGCUUCACUGGGGUAUUAUCUGCGGUAGUUAUACAUGAAGAAGUCUCCGUUGUGAAGGUAACCCCUUGCGUGGAUGGCAGCAUUGUUCCUGCUAGCCCUGUUUAUGGUUGUAAGGACGACCACUGUAGCUCCACCUUAGUUGAGGCAUCUUGCGAAUUAGAUGAUCAGUCAAUCCUUCCAAUUUCUUUGAGUAUUGGAAGUGGAAUUAAAGAUUCUUCAACAGCUCAGUGUUUAAUAUCAGUUACUCCUGAAAGAAAAGUAUCUGCAAGCAGCUGUCAUACUGUGGAAAUAGAGUCAUCUUUGAAUAGGAGUGUUAAUUCUCACACCCAGAAAAGGAGAAAGUCCAUGGACGUACCAUUUAUAAGCCUUGUUGAGGAAGAAAAUUACAUCACCCCCUGUGCUAGCAUCCCUUCCAGGCAAUCUGUGGGCUUGGUGAAUGCCGAUGAGGCAAUUAAUGGAAAUGAAUCUGAUUCUCACAAAAAAUUGAAGCCAAAUUCACUUCAAUCACAGACAAGCAAUCUGACUAGUUCAUUUUUAUUAACUGAUCCUCUCAUGGAGAAAAGGUUACAGAUAUUUUGCUCACUUUGCAAAAACCCUUUGGGUCGGCCUGAGAAUAAUCUGUAUAUUACAUGUUCUUUGACUUCGUCAUCAAAAGUGCACUUAAGAUCUCUUUUGAAACGGAGACUGAAGGCUUGCGAUGAUGAGGAUUUAAGAAGUGUACCAGUUAUUGUAACUUGCAUUUCAUAUGUUAAUCAACGCAUCUGCAAUAGAGUCAACGGAAGUGUUCCAGAGCAGGGUAUUUGGUGCCCAGAAGAUGGGUGUGUUUUCAGGUCUAUAUUUUGCCCCUUCUGCAGCAAACCCAGCAAUUUGCUUGGUGUACAGAUUAUGGCAACUGAUGCAUCAAAUAGUCAUUUGCUUGACAAGAUGUUGAUUUACUUUGAUUUUUUGGAAGUUAAGAAUCUUGAGGAAUCAAGGAGUGAGGAUUCAAAGAAAGCGGGUUUGCUGCCAAAUACAGGCUCUGAUGCGGACGAAACUGCUGCCUUGAAUUCUUUUGACAAAUUUGUUGAUCUUACACGGCUUGAGAAGCCAAGAGUCUUGAAGACUAGGAAAUCAAAGCAGAAAUUGCCAACAUGAGGCUUACUGCCAAUGCAGAAAGCCUAAGUUGGAGCAAAAAAAUGACAAAUUUUGUUGUGAAUAAUCAGAUAGGAAUUAAGGUGACAAGUGAGAAUUUGACUUGGAUGUAGAUUUCAGAAUUUGGAACACCCCAGUCUGGGACUUGAUCAUGCUGUCCUGAGUUAAGAUGUUACCCUCAGCUCUUUGAGGGAGUGAGAAGGAACGUCCUCUUUAAAUGGACUGCUACUGCUGGUAAAUUAUUUAAUGAGAUCGUCAACUUGCAAUUGUUGCUUCCGUGACAAUGAAAUCGUACUUCGGCUGUUAAUGGCACUUGUAUUAUGACUGCUGGUUGUGUUCAAAGAUGUAGAACUGUUGGCUCGUCACACGGCCUCGUUACAUUGGGUUGGGCCUUCCGUGCAGCAAGUUCUGCUGGUCCAUAUAGAAAGAACUGUGAGGACUGAGCGUCAGGGGUUUACUAAUAAUGGUAAUGGUAAUGGUAAUUACAAUGGCGAGAACUGGGCGUAGGGUAAUGAGGCAACCGGUGCUUGUGAAUUUAUGAUGUUGAGAAGAUAAGUUCUCUGACCUCUGAAGCAAUCGCUAAGUAGGCCCUGAUUAUUGCGA